rnacentral:sRNA from 1 species
ACAUAGAAUUUUAACCAUCCAGCAAAAUCACGAUCUUUGUAAGUUUCAUAUUCAUUUUUU